UUUAAAGUGUAAUGUAAGUCGCUUUGGAUAAAAGCGUCUGCUAAAUGACCUCCA
rfam:Gasterosteus aculeatus cont1.009996, whole genome shotgun sequence.